rnacentral:lncRNA from 1 species
GGAGAAAGCAACAGUAAGCAGGCAAAGAAAUGCAUAAUUUAUUUUUUAGGCCAUGUAAAUGCUAUGAAAAGGACCAAACUUUCUAAAUAGUAGCAUGGCAGUGUAUGUAGGGAGAGCUGCUCUUUUGGUGGGGGAGGGGAGAAUAGUUUGGUCAAAGACUUGAAUGAAGGUCCUGAAAGCAGAGCAUCCUGGGUAGAGAGAAGAGUAUGUGCAAGGGUAUGGAGUUGAGAGCAGCGACUUCAAGGAUCUGAGGUCAGUCUUUCCUUCCUUCCUUCUGUUCCUUCCUUCCUUCCUUCCCUUCCUUCCUUCCUUCCUUCCUUCCUUCUUUAUCCCUUUCUUCCCACCCCCACCCCUUCUCUUUUUCUUUCUUGAGAAAGGGUUCAUGUAGCCCAAGCUGACCUAGAAUCUGCUGAUAUUGACCUUGAAUUUCUGAGCUUUUUUCCUCUACCACCCAAGUGCUGGGUUACAGCUAUGCACUGCACCGCCCUGUCUGACCUAUGUGGUGCUGGAAAUUAGACUCAGGGUGUUGUGCAUGCUAGGCAAGCAUCCCACUGAGCUCCGUCCCCAGUGCUGCGUGGAUCUGUGACUUUCUGAGGCAGAAAUCAACCAACCUUGAUGUAUGUGGUGGUGUAUGCUUGUAAUGCCAGCACUCAGGAGACAGAGUCAGGAAGAUCAGUAGUUCAAGGCCAGCCCCGUCUACAUAGUGAGUUCCAGGACAUCUGGGCUAUAUAAAACCCUCAAUUUUACCAAAUAUUCAUAAAAGUCAACCAGCUGUUCCUGCAUACUUUUAUGUCUUUUUCUUGCUCUAGAAUCAGACCCCUCACAGUUGCUCAAAUGCCUCAUCUCCAAAUUCCACUGGCCUCCAAUCCCAAUGGCAUCUUCAGUUCUUUGGAUAAAACAACAUGCCCUUGCCACAGGGCCUUUGCACAGAUAGUUGGUGGCUACUCAGUUCCCUUCCACUAGUCAAGAAUCCUUUGUUAGAUGCUUCCCCCAAAUUCACAUAAUCAGACCCUUUAUCUUACUUGGUAAUUAUGCAUUAAUCGGCAUGCUUACCUGGAGAUCUGGGGUCUUGUCUGAUAUCUAGCUCCAGGCACAGGGCCUGAUCUCUGGAAGAUACCCCCACCCACAUGCUUUUUCUGGACAGAGUUUCUCUGUGUAGCCCUGGGUAUCCUGGAACUACCUCUGUAGACCAGGUUUGGCCUUGAACUGGGAGUUCUACCUGCUUCUGCCUCCUUAGUGCUGGGAUUAAAAGUGUGCAUCACCACCACUGGGCUUUCUGGAAUAUACUUAGUGCUUGUUGAACAACUACUCAGGAAUGCUGUGGUAAAGGAUAUAGCAUGGGGGAGGGACUUAAAUCUACUGAUUAGUAGCAUCCAGGAGAAGUGAGUUGUUCUGGAGGGAAAGAGUACCUCAGGAGAGCAUAAUGACAGACUUUGAUUCCAGAAGCCACAUGCCAGUGAAGGACCAGUCUCUUGAGCCUUAGGGGAACUGGGUGGUAUUCCUUCAAGGAUGAACGGAGGAGGGACUCUGUCCUUAGAUCAUGGGCUGUUGGGCUUUUCAGCUAUAAAAUGGGCGCCCCCAAGGGCAGAGUCAUUUCCAGCUUGCCACCGGUGCAGGGACUGUAGGCUGUUGCUUCCCUGCUCCCCUCCUCCCCACUAGCUCGGCAGGGUACUGGGAGGGAAGAAGGGGGGGUGCUUCCUUAAGUCUUAAGUGCCUCCACAGCUGGAGCAGUGGUGCGUAUUUUAAGUGGAGUUUGCAGACAAUGGAGCUCUCUAGGGCUUGGAGGGGAAGGAAGCUGAAAUUCAGGACCAUUCUGUGAAUUCCCAAGUUCUUUGUGUCCAUUGUGUAGGAGAACAAUGCUGUUUGUUUGGCUUGUUCACUCAAGGUAGGGGAUUGGGGCUGGUGUGUGUGUGUGUGUGUGUGUGUGUGUGUGUGUGUGUGUGUUCCAGCACACUGAAAUUCCCAGAGUGGCUAGCCUACUUAGGGAGUGAAGGAUCCCUUAAAAAACUGGGGGUGGCUGUAGGUAGAUGGGAAGCUGUGGGGCUGGCAGGAGAGGAACUGAGUUCCCUGGGCUGUCCUUUAGUUUCAAGCCUUGCUUCCUUAGGGAUUUCUGCUCCUUUCUAGAGGAUUCUAAGCCCAGAGGCUGCAUCGUAUGGAGGAAGGGUCAACCAAAUAAAUACCAGUUGAACAAGUCUCUUCAUCCUGAGGCCUCACCUUCUUCUAUGUCCAUGGUCAAGUGUUUGGCUAGACAGAGAUGUUCACAACAUGUCAGCUCAUGCACUCCUGCACUCCUUGGGCCAGAGCUAGCUCCCCUCCUGGAGUACAUCAUUCUGUCUCACCAAGCCUUUCCUUGACCUUGAUUUUGGCUGAUGAAUGCACAGUCUGGGUCCCCAGCAGAAGCUGUACAUACACAGAACAAAGGACACAGGAGGCCUGAGCUUAGGUUAUAGAACCUCAGUAAGACCACAUGGCAGCUUGACUUACCCAGUGCCAAGCAGGUGCUCCAACCCUGAGCUUAACCUCCCGAGACCCCUCUCCUUCAGACUUAGCAGCUGUGUAUGGACUCUGUGCAGAUAUUACCUUCUAUUGCCUGAUCAAAGUCCCGCUGUGCCAUUGACUAUCCCAGCCUCAGUUUCCCUCUGCAGAUCAGACAACAAUCAUUCUACCCUGCUGAGCUUCAGCAAGGAGUAAAUGAAAUAGUGCAGCUCAAGGCCUGUGUGUCAUUCCUGCCUCUGUUGUUCAGACACGGGAAUCAAGGCAGAGGAGACAAGCUUCCCGCGGAGGAUAAAUGAAGGCAUUUCAAUUCAAGUCCAGGCCGCUGGCUCUAAAGCUGGGUUUUGACCAUCACCCCAGGCCUCCUGAAGAUAGAGGACUGAUGCUGGCUCUGAGCAGGCUUCUCUGGACUUUCCAACAGCACCUGCCAAAGCCAAGUUUCCCCAGUAAGAGGAGUCAUAGUGUCUAACCAACGCUGGGGGUUGAGGCUCCUCCAGCUCUGCCCACUGAUCUACUGGAGGUUGCAGUGCCCCCCCCCCCAACUCUGGCAAGGAGUGCCUUUCCCAAGCAAGGGGCACCAGCUCCGAAUAAGGAACAGCCUUGGGGCUGGAAGCUGAGUUCCAGGGUCUGAGAUUACAGUUUGGUAGGUGCUGGAGACAGCACCUGGGACCUGAUGUGCUCAGUGUGAGUCCUGAGGCUCACCAGGGAGCUUGUCUAUGCUUUGGACUUUCACUCGGCAAAGGCACAGACCAAUGCACCAAGAUGAAAUAGCCCUGGGAAUGAGAAUAGAAGCUCAAACCUUGGGGACCACAAUGGUGUGAAGGGGAGCUGAGCCAUGGCUCCCUCCAGUUUCUACCCUCUCCCUUCACCCACCUCAGCUCAGCCUCUUGCCACCUUCAUUCUCUCCACCCCUUCUCUCCCCAGCUUGUGGCUUCCAACUGAAUGAGAAGAGGGAGAAAAAAGGAUGGAGAAAGGCCUGGGGGAAGGGGUGUCCACUUUGUCGAUGUGAUGCUGCAGUCAUUCUGUGAAUGAAGCAUAGUGAUAGUGUGACCUUCUGUGGCUGCUGUGAGUAAAUAUGAACUGGAAGGCUGUGUGUAAAUUGCUUAGCUUAGAGCCUGGCAGCUUAGCCAGGAAGAGAGAGAAGAUGAGGAUGAGAGCCAGCUUCUGGUGAGAUACCUGCCCUCAUUCAAGUGCUGGGACAGCUUGGGAAUAUUCAGAGGAAGGACCACGUGUCAUGGCUCUUAUUUCCAUCACGUCACCAUGGCCAUCAUCUCUCUCUCACCUUGACUCGUGUUGGGUUGCUUCUGGUGACACUCUUCCUUGUUCUGUUCCUCCAGCAAGCACCUCUCCUGAGUAUCCUGGGGCUUUGGUGAUGUCAUCCCACCAGGUUGCUGCUGCCAGUGGUGAGCCAGGCUCCAGAAAAGGCCCCUCUGACCUGGCUGGUCCAUGGAGGGGUGCAGUUCACAGAAAGAGUGAGCAUUCAGUUAGGACCAUGAGUUGGAACAAGCAGAGGGGCUCUUGUGGUUACAGAGAAGAUGCAGCAGGGAGGCUCUCACAUGCCUCUCCAUUUGUCCCAGAGAAAUGAGUGUAGUUGACUUUGGAUCCUUGGAGUGACAGGUUCCAGGACUGCCUCACCACUGGUUACCUGAGUCAAUACCUGUCCAAUCCUUUGUAUAAAAUGUAGAAUUUGCAUAGAGCCCUCACAGUCUUGCAGCCUACUUUAAAUCAUGUCCAGAUGACUUACAAUGCCUAAUACAAUGUAAAUGCUGUGCAAAUAGUUGCCGCACUGUGUUGUUAGGAAAUAAUGGCAAGGGAAAUCUCCUCUACAUGUUCAGUACAGAUGUAAUUUCCUCCCCCCAAAGAUUUUCUAAUCAAAGUUUGUCGAAUCCACAGAUGUGCAACCCAUGGGCAUGGAGGGCUGGCUGUCCUCUCUAGUUAGGGGCUAUUAUUUCUCUCUCUCUGUAUGUAGGUAUGUAUGUAUAUGUGUAUAUAGCUAUAUACAAAUAAUAAUAUACAUACACACAAAGGUAUGCAUAUACAUAUAUAUUAUAUAUAAUGCAACGAAGAAAUUCUGAGACAUCUAGCCCUACGAGAUGCUGUGGACUUGCUGUCAUUCUUUUAUUCAACAAAUGUUUGUUUCCUUGUUUAUUUAGUGAGUUUGUGGGUGUAGGUGUGUACACUUGCAUGUGGAAGACAGAAAUCAACUUUGGGGAUGUCAUUCUCGGCGUUACCUACCUGGAGCUUUUUCUGAACACUUUUAAAAAUGUAUUAUUAUCAUUUUGCAUAUGUGUGUGGCAUUUGUGUACAUGCAUGCUUUUAUGUGUGACUAUACACGUGUCUGGAGGCUCAAAGUUAAUGCCAAAUGUCUUCCUCAGUUUCUUUCUUCUCUAUUUACUGAGGCAGGACCUCUUCCUGAAGCUGGAACCCAUCAACUCUGGAUAAUAUAUCAGUCUAGCCUACUCCAGGGAGCCCCUCUUUCUGUCAACUAAGUUUUGGGAUUGCAGUUUGCCUCCAUGCCUGCCCAGCAUCUACCUGGUGCUGGAAAUCCCAACCCUGGUCCACAUGCUUGCACAGUAAAUGAUUUAUACACAGAGACAUCCACCCAAUCCACACCUUAUGAGACUGGCUUUGAACUUAUCAAUUAGGCAAGGCUGGCUGGCCAUCAAGCCUCAGGAUGAGAGCCAGCUUCUGAUGAGAUACCUGCCCUACUGUGUGUUUGCAGCCCUGACAGUUUAGUUUGCUUCUGAUGACGAUAUUGUACCCACUGAAUAGAGGAGGAACCCAAGACUCAGAAAACAAAACAUUUCCCUUCUCUACUUCUCGGCUUUAAGCCAGCCUUUCUGUGACUCAGAACCUGCUGAGGACCUCUCUGCUUCCCAGAACAGUCUGGAGCAACGCUUGAGGCAGGAUCAUCCACAUCUGGAACAUACCAAGAGUGUGUCUUGUGACAACUGACUGAUAGAGCCCAGGUCCUCAGGCAGAGGCACACUGUGAGCCACUGUAUGAGCCACCCCCACACAGGUACAGCUUCCAGGAGAGAGACUGCAUUCUGAGUGUGUGUGUGUGGGUGCGUGGGGAGUUAGUGGGGUUCUCAGUCACAAGGUUCAGAGCACCUUCCCUAAUAGUCUUACAGUCAGUACCCAUUCUUAAAGUGCCCCCAUCCCCACCCCUGUUGCCAUAUCUGGGCUUACAGAAUAUUGGUUUCUUAUUUAACACAACACAGAAGUGCUGUUCAAAGAUCUGUUAAGACAGGAAGGCCAGUCCUGAAGCAUAGGCCUGUAAUCCUGGCUAUUUGGGGGGCUGAGGCAGCAGGACCACUAGUUUAAGGCCAGUUUGGAUAACAUGGUGACACCCUGUCUCAAAAUAAAAAGUGAAAAGAGGGCUGGGGUGUAGCUCGAUGGUAGACCCUAGAUUCAAACCCUAGUACCACAAUAUUGGAAAAGAAGAUAGGUUUAGUUGCACAUUUCCUGCCUCUCUUCAUAAGGAACUUCACUUUCUCUCAGGAGAGCAGAGGGGAAGAAGAGGCUGGAUGGAGGGUGGGGAGAAGAUGCCUGAAGCCCAUCCUGUACUCUAGGAAGGGAGGGGAGGCCUGUGGGCAGCGGCUGGAGCAAGGGCCCAAAUCCUCAGUCCUGGGAUUGGGAGAGCUGGCAGG